rnacentral:tRNA from 2 species
GCCCCCGUAGCCCAAUAGGCAGAGGCAGCAGACUUAAAAUCUGCACAGUGUGGGUUCGAAUCCCACCGGGGGCA